rnacentral:rRNA from 1 species
CCGACGGUGAGGGGCGAAAGCUGGGGGAGCAAACCGGAUUAGAUACCCGGGUAGUCCCAGCUGUAAACGAUGCGCGUUAGGUGUGUCAGUGACCACGUGUCACUGAUGUGCCGAAGGGAAACCGUGAAACGCGCCGCCUGGGGAGUACGGUCGCAAGGCUGAAACUUAAAGGAGUUGGCGGGGGAGCACCACAACAGGUGGAGCCUGCGGUUUAAUCGGACUCAACGCCGGGAAACUCACCAGAUAA